rnacentral:rRNA from 1 species
AUUGAACGCUGGCGGCAUGCUUUACACAUGCGAGUCGAACGGUAACAGGCCGCAAGGUGCUGACGAGUGGCGAACGGGUGAGUAAUGCAUCGGAACGUGCCCAGUCGUGGGGGAUAACGCAGCGAAAGCUGUGCUAAUACCGCAUACGAUCUAUGAAUGAAAGCGGGGGACCGUAAGGCCUCGCGCGAUUGGAGCGGCCGAUGUCAGAUUAGGUAGUUGGUGGGGUAAAGGCUCACCAAGCCAACGAUCGGUAGCUGGUCUGGGAGGACGGCCAGCCACACUGGGACUGAGACACGGCCCAGACUCCUACGGGAGGCAGAAGGGGGGAAUUUUGGACAAUGGGCGCAAGCCUGAUCCAGCAAUGCCGCGUGCAGGAAGAAGGCCUUCGGGUUGUAAACUGCCUUUGUACGGAACGAAAAGGUUUGGGUUAAUACCCUGGGCCGAUGACGGUACCGUAAGAAUAAGCACCGGCUAACUACGUGCCAGCAGCCGCCGUAA